rnacentral:rRNA from 1 species
GAUGAACGCUGGCGGCGUGCCUAAUACAUGCAAGUCGAGCGAACAGACGAGGAGCUUGCUCCUCUGACGUUAGCGGCGGACGGGUGAGUAACACGUGGAUAACCUACCUAUAAGACUGGGAUAACUUCGGGAAACCGGAGCUAAUACCGGAUAAUAUAUUGAACCGCAUGGUUCAAUAGUGAAAGACGGUUUUGCUGUCACUUAUAGAUGGAUCCCCGCUGCAUUAGCUAGUUGGUAAGGUAACGGCUUACCAAGGCAACGAUGCGUAGCCGACCUGAGAGGGUGAUCGGCCGCACUGGAACGGAGACACGGUCCAGACUCCUACGGGAGGCAGCAGUAGGGAAUCGUCCGCAAUGGGCGAAAGCCUGACGGAGCAACGCCGCGUGAGUGAUGAAGGUCUUCGGAGCGGAAAGCUCUGUUAUUAGGGAAGAACAAAUGUGUAAGGAACUAUGCCCGUCGUGACGGUACCUAAUCAGAAAGCCACGGCUAACUACGUG